CCCGUAAUCCGGGUUGCGGACAGUGUCUGGUGGGUAGUUUGACUGGGGCGGUCUCCUCCUAAAGAGUAACGGAGGAGCACGAAGGUUGGCUAAUCCUGGUCGGACAUCAGGAGGUUAGUGCAAUGGCAUAAGCCAGCUUGACUGCGAGCGUGACGGCGCGAGCAGGUGCGAAAGCAGGUCAUAGUGAUCCGGUGGUUCUGAAUGGAAGGGCCAUCGCUCAACGGAUAAAAGGUACUCCGGGGAUAACAGGCUGAUACCGCCCAAGAGUUCAUAUCGACGGCGGUGUUUGGCACCUCGAUGUCGGCUCAUCACAUCCUGGGGCUGAAGUAGGUCCCAAGGGUAUGGCUGUUCGCCAUUUAAAGUGGUACGCGAGCUGGGUUUAGAACGUCGUGAGACAGUUCGGUCCCUAUCUGCCGUGGGCGCUGGAGAACUGAGGGGGGCUGCUCCUAGUACGAGAGGAC
rnacentral:rRNA from 1 species